rnacentral:rRNA from 1 species
GACGAACGCUGGCGGCGUGCUUAACACAUGCAAGUCGAACGGAAAGGCCCUGCUUGCAGGGUACUCGAGUGGCGAACGGGUGAGUAACACGUGGGUGAUCUGCCCUGCACUUCGGGAUAAGCCUGGGAAACUGGGUCUAAUACCGGAUAGGAGCCAUUUUUAGUGUGAUGGUUGGAAAGUUUUUUCGGUGUAGGAUGAGCUCGCGGCCUAUCAGCUUGUUGGUGGGGUAAUGGCCUACCAAGGCGGCGACGGGUAGCCGGCCUGAGAGGGUGGACGGCCACAUUGGGACUGAGAUACGGCCCAGACUCCUACGGGAGGCAGCAGUGGGGAAUAUUGCACAAUGGGCGCAAGCCUGAUGCAGCGACACCGCGGGGGGGAUGACGGCCUUCGGGUUGUAAACUCCUUUCGCUAGGGACGAAGCUUUUUGUGACGGUACCUAGAUAAGAAGCACCGGCUAACUACGUG